GUAAUCACAAAUGCUGCAGUCCUUUUGACAACCUUGCAUCUUCAAGCAGUGGGAAACUGAGCUGAGAAGCAUGCAGCAAGGAGUCCUACCCCGUUCAGGCUGGGGUGAGGGCCAGGCAGAACAGCUGGCCCCUCCUCAGCUGACAUCAGUGCAUACAUCACAGCAGCUGGUCUGGAGGCAGGAGGGAAGAGGAGAAGCUCCCUCGAUCCCCAUCUGCCAGAGUUAUGUCCAGUCUCACACAGGUCCUUAUCAGAGACGCAGUCACGUGUUCUUGCUUUUAAAUGCUGCUGGCCCAACUAAUUCUCCUGGGCACAAGUGAACUCCAGAGGCAGAGGGGAAAUAAUUCCAGUGCCAGGAGUGAGGCUCCUCUUGCUGUCAGGGGCUGGGUACCAGUCCAACACCAUCAUGGUCCACAGCAGGGACAUGCUAAAAGAUGCUGUGACUCAUUUCCAGUGCCAGCUGCAGUGAGCACCUGACCAGAAGCAAACUUCAGGGGUGCUGGCAGCCACCCUACAGGUGCUCUUGCCCUUGCUGCCUGCCCUUACAUGCUGGUGCCCUCACGUCUGUAGGCUUUUUUGCACCUGUGGAUUCGGAGGCAGGAUUUGCAAGCAAAUGUACUGGAACAUUUUCAGACUCCAAAAAUAAAUAACACCUGUCAUUAGCAA